GUCCCCUUCGUCUAGAGGCCCAGGACACCUCCCUUUCACGGAGGCGACACGGGUUCGAAUCCCGUAGGGGACGCCA
rnacentral:tRNA from 2 species